GAUGAACGCUGGCGGCGUGCCUAAUACAUGCAAGUCGAGCGAACAGAUGAGGAGCUUGCUCCUCUGACGUUAGCGGCGGACGGGUGAGUAACACGUGGAUAACCUACCUAUAAGACUGGGAUAACUUCGGGAAACCGGAGCUAAUACCGGAUAAUAUAUUGAACCGCAUGGUUCAAUAGUGAAAGACGGUUUUGCUGUCACUUAUAGAUGGAUCCGCGCCGCAUUAGCUAGUUGGUAAGGUAACGGCUUACCAAGGCGACGAUGCGUAGCCGACCUGAGAGGGGGAGGGGCAACACGGGAACGGAGACACGCUCAAGACUCCGAGGGGGGGCGACAGGAGGGAACUUGCCGCAAUGGGGGAAGCCCUGAGGGAGCAGCGCGGGGGGAGUGAUGAGGGUCUUCGUACCUUAAAACUCUGUUAUGGGGAAAAAAAAAAGGGGUAAGUAACAAGGCACGUCUGGACGGUACCUAAUAAAAAAGCCACGGCAAACUCCGGG
rnacentral:rRNA from 1 species